rnacentral:rRNA from 1 species
GAUGAACGCUGGCGGCGUGCCUGAUACAUGCAAGUCGAGCGAACAGACGAGGAGCUUGCUCCUCUGACGUUAGCGGCGGACGGGUGAGUAACACGUGGAUAACCUACCUAUAAGACUGGGAUAACUUCGGGAAACCGGAGCUAAUACCGGAUAAUAUAUUGAACCGCAUGGUUCAAUAGUGAAAGACGGUUUUGCUGUCACUUAUAGAUGGAUCCGCGCCGCAUUAGCUAGUUGGUAAGGUAACGGCUUACCAAGGCAACGAUGCGUAGCCGACCUGAGAGGGUGAUCGGCCACACUGGAACUGAGACACGGUCCAGACUCCUACGGGAGGCAGCAGUAGGGAAUCUUCCGCAAUGGGCGAAAGCCUGACGGAGCAACGCCGCGUGAAUGAUGAAGGUCUUCGGAUCGUAAAACUCUGUUAUUAGGGAAGAACAAAUGUGUAAGUAACUAUGCACGUCUUGACGGUACCUAAUCAGAAAGCCACGGCUAACUACGUG